GGUUCGGGUUUAGGUUAUAGGUUUUGGUUUUGGUUUAGGUUAUAAGUUUUGGUUUUGGUUUAGGUUAAGGUUUAGGUUAUAGGUUUUGGGAUUUGAGAAUGGGUUCGGGUUUAAGUUAUAGGUUUUUGGAUUUGAGAAUGGGUUCGGGUUUAGGUUAUAGGUUUUGGUUUUGGUUUAGGUUAUAGGU